rnacentral:rRNA from 1 species
AGCGAACGCUGGCGGCAGGCUUAACACAUGCAAGUCGAACGCCCCGCAAGGGGAGUGGCAGACGGGUGAGUAACACGUGGGAACGUACCCUUUGGUUCGGAAUAACUUGGGGAAACUCAAGCUAAUACCGGAUAAGCCCUUAUGGGGAAAGGUUUACUGCCGAAGGAUCGGCCCGCGUCUGAUUAGCUAGUUGGUGAGGUAAUGGCUCACCAAGGCGACGAUCAGUAGCUGGUCUGAGAGGAUGAUCAGCCACACUGGGACUGAGACACGGCCCAGACUCCUACGGGAGGCAGCAGUGGGGAAUAUUGGACAAUGGGGGCAACCCCGAUCCAGCCAUGCCGCGUGAGUGAUGAAGGCCUUAGGGUUGUAAAGCUCUUUUACCCGGGACGAUAAUGACGGUACCUGGAGAAUAAGCCCCGGCAAACUUCGUGCCAGCAGCCGCCGUAAAAC